AGUCGAACGGCAGCACGGGAGCAAUCCUGGUGGCGAGUGGCGAACGGGUGAGUAAUGUAUCGGAACGUGCCCAGUCGUGGGGGAUAACGUAGCGAAAGCUACGCUAAUACCGCAUACGAUCUGUGGAUGAAAGCGGGGGACCGUAAGGCCUCGCGCGAUUGGAGCGGCCGAUAUCAGAUUAGGUAGUUGGUGGGGUAAAGGCCUACCAAGCCGACGAUCUGUAACUGGUCUGAGAGGACGACCAGUCACACUGGGACUGAGACACGGCCCAGACUCCUACGGGAGGCAGCAGUGGGGAAUUUUGGACAAUGGGCGCAAGCCUGAUCCAGCAAUGCCGCGUGAGUGAAGAAGGCCUUCGGGUUGUAAAGCUCUUUUGUCAGGGAAGAAACGGUGAGGGCUAAUAUCCCUUGCUAAUGACGGUACCUGAAGAAUAAGCACCGGCUAACUACGUGCCAGCAGCCGCGGUAAUACGUAGGGUGCAAGCGUUAAUCGGAAUUACUGGGCGUAAAGCGUGCGCAGGCGGUUUUGUAAGUCUGUCGUGAAAUCCCCGGGCUCAACCUGGGAAUUGCGAUGGAGACUGCAAGGCUAGAAUCUGGCAGAGGGGGGUAGAAUUCCACGUGUAGCAGUGAAAUGCGUAGAGAUGUGGAGGAAUACCAAUGGCGAAGGCAGCCCCCUGGGUCAAGAUUGACGCUGAUGGACGAAAGC
rnacentral:rRNA from 1 species